AGAAGAUUUAAUUAUUGGACACAUACCUUUAAAAUUCUUCAUUAGGUUCUAAAUUCCUAGAAUUUUUAUACAAACACAGUUCAUGUUCUAAGCCCUGUCUUCUUGUUCACCAUUAUCUCUCAUCUCUUCUGGGAGGUGAUAUUCUAAAGUGGGAAACAAAAAUACAUCUGACUCUGCAGACUUCAACCUUAUGUCCUGAAUUUUGGAAUGUAUAAUUAACCCCACUGAUUCAUUUCUGGGAAAGGCAUCCAGUUGGAAAACAGGAAAUCCUAUAUGGAGAGUAUGGGACUAAAAACUCUUUUUGAAACAGCAAGUGAAGCUGUACUCAAAUGCAAAGUUUCACUUGAGGAAUACAACUUUGUUUCCUGGUCUAUUGGAAAGGAGACUCUAUGGAUCAUAUGGAGCACGCCUCUAAAAUGUGAAGACAGGGAUCACUCAGCCUUCAUUUUGUAUAAUAAAGUAUAAUGAAGAGAGAUUGGUGUGAUAUAUCCAUUAGGAGAAAGGCAGUGACAAUGAAAAUUGAAAGAAAGAAUCCGAUUCAAGGGACAUUUAUGAGGAAGUGUUCAAAACAUCUAAAUGGUAAUUUUUAAAUUUUUCUCUCUGACAGCUCCUUCUCCUGUCACUCUUAUUUUCAUCAGUACUUGG
rnacentral:lncRNA from 1 species